rnacentral:piRNA from 1 species
UAUUGGCCAAUGUGGUCUGGAACUGC